rnacentral:rRNA from 1 species
UACAGAGGUGGCAAGCGUUGUUCGGAAUUACUGGGCGUAAAGGGCGCGUAGGCGGCCUUCUAAGUCAGACGUGAAAUCCCUCGGCUUAACCGAGGAACUGCGUCUGAUACUGGAUGGCUUGAGUUUGGGAGAGGGAUGCGGAAUUCCAGGUGUAGCGGUGAAAUGCGUAGAUAUCUGGAGGAACACCGGUGGCGAAGGCGGCAUCCUGGACCAACACUGACACUGAGGAGCGAAAGCCAGGGGAGCAAACGGG